AUAUCUUGAUAUUUUUUACCCAAAUAUCGAAAUCACUAUAUUUUUUAUAUUUUUUGAUAUUUUUUCCUUGGUGACUCUUAAUUUUAAAGCGUUGAUUACUUGAUUUGAUAGAAAUAUAAUGGAAAAAGAAUCUCAGUUACCCCGAAAUUGGUGUCAAGUCACCUUUCACAAUUGAAAGUGUGAUAAAUAAACAAGAUGAAACGCUAUAUUCGAGUGCCGCACUAUAAGUCACUUGUAACUGUUUUACACAUUCACAAAGAAGAAGAAAGUCAGAGAAAGCAUGUUGAGUAACUAAUGAUGACGUCACUGCCCAUGUGAGGCCUUGUAACCUACGUGUCUUCAAAAAUAGUGUAAUAAAGUUCCGAUUCAAAAAAUCUAUGUUACCGAGAUAUCACGUGACAAGAUGCUGAAAUAAACUUGCGCUGCGUAC